GUUUGUGCAUAUCCAAUUACCUGACGGUCUAGUAAAGUAAACUUGUUCAUAUUUAGUUACCACAUGGAAAAUGAUCUACUUAUUUGCAAAAUUUGAUUAGCUUCUUAGCACACCUUAAAGACAUUUUAACAGUAAAAUACAAUUGAAUUCCCAGCAGUUAUCUAAAUUGAUCUGGCCAGCAGCCGAGGGAAGUGGAACUCGAAGUGCAAGCUCAUGGCUCAUAAUCAAGGGCACUGAAAGCGAUUUCCUGCUGGCCCCCAACUUGAUUGCACUGAUUGCCCGAAAGGAGGAGGAGAGCUCCGGCCAGGUGACUCGUGCCGCCGAAACAAUGCGGCAAGGAAAGGUCUCCCAGUUUCAAGUUCCCUGUUCUUCCAGAGCUAGCGCAACUAACUCAGCGCCUCUUGGCCACAGGUAAUUGAACGCUGCCCCAUUCCACCAACUCCACCUGAGCUACUGUGUAUCCCUAUGCCAUGGCUCUGCGACACGCCUGCUCUUUAGCAAUGCACAGGGAGAAAAAGGGAGGUCUAAGAACAUUUAUAGUAUUAACAUUAGUAUUACUAUAACCAGUCUAGUUAAUGUUAUAUUUUUAAGUUAUAUAUUUCAUAUUCAGUAUAUAAUAAAAUCUUUCUUUAAAAAACCCAAAA